UCGAGGGGUAACAGAGUUUGCUUGCAAACUGCUGACGACCGGCGCACGGGUGCGGAACGCGUAUGGAACCUGCCCCUGUCAGGGGAAUAGCCCAGAGAAAUUUGGAUUAAUGCCCCAUGGUAUCCCGAUACUGCCUGGUAUUGGGAUUAAAGAUUUAUCGGACAGGGAUGGCCAUGCGUACCAUUAGCUAGUUGGUGGGGCAACGGCCCACCAAGGCAACGAUGGUUAGGGGCCCUGAGAGGGGGAUCCCCCACACUGGUACUGAGACACGGACCAGACUCCUACGGGAGGCAGCAGUGAGGAAUAUUGGACAAUGGUCGGGAGACUGAUCCAGCCAUGCCGCGUGCAGGAUGACGGCCCUAUGGGUUGUAAACUGCUUUUGUACGGGAAGAAACCCAUCUACGUGUAGAUGGCUGACGGUACCGUAAGAAUAAGGACCGGCUAACUCCGUGCCAGCAGCCGCGGUAAUACGGAGGGUCCGAGCGUUAUCCGGAAUCAUUGGGUUUAAAGGGUCCGUAGGCGGGCCCAUAAGUCAGGGGUGAAAGGCCACGGCUCAACCGUGGGACUGCCUUUGAUACUGUGUGUCUUGAGUCGUUGUGGGGUUGCCGGAACAUGUGGUGUAGCGGUGAAAUGCAUAGAUAUCACAUAGAACACCGAUCGCGAAGGCAGGUGACCAACAACGUACUGACGCUGAUGGACGAAAGCGUGGGUAGCGAACGGGAUUAGAUACCCCGGUAGUCCACGCCGUAACGAUGGACACUAGCUGUGGGGACUUCGGUCUCC
rnacentral:rRNA from 1 species